AUUCUUAAUGGCAAUUGUGACGCCGAGUUGCUGAUCCGUUAAUCUAUGGAAACCUACUCGAGCCUCAGAUGGACCGCCACUGUAAAAAGAUUUAUUAACAACACCCACGAUCACUAUCACAACUGCGAAUAACUGCGACAACUGUAAAUCGCCUUUAGCAUUUAUAACAUGUGAUUAUCAACGAUAGUCCACCUGAACUUUUGUCGUCGGUGGUCCAGACGAAGCUUACGUCAAGGAUCAGGAAGAUCGCGAUAAGUCCGAAGCGAAGAUCCAUCGCCGAAGAGAGCACGUGUAAAUAUGGAGUGUUCGAUGUCAAGGCAUUCAGCAAAGAUAAACAAACGCGGAACCUGUAUUAAUCUCGUAACGUCUUUGAGACGAGAUAAAAAAGGGAGAUAAGAGGAAGAGAAACGAAGGCUUAGACACUGUUCAUCUUCGAUUAGUAUCAGAUUGACCAAUUGGGAAUUUCCGGCUCUGACGCAAUCGAUAAGAAUGGAUAGGCUAGUUAAUCUAUUCCGCAAAAAUCGGUGAUAGAGACCGAGUAACAGGAAAAUGACACAUUAAUCCGAAAUACAUUGCCUGCUAAUCUCACCUUCUUCGUGUCAUUCCGCGACACUGUCGCCCAGACCGGCUCAGCCAGCGUUCCGGGCGAGACG